AGGGACAUAAUUGAUUUUGUCUUUUGAUUAUAUUAACCAUUGGGUUUACUGUGUGUGUAUGUGUGUAGUUUGUGAUCUUGUUUCUUUCACUCCUCCUUCCUCUCUCUGCUUGGCAGGCUAAUGAGUGCCACCUGUCUCCUGUUUAGCUCAUUAGCUGGAGUAUAAAGGAACCUCCAAGAGCUGCAGUCCAGUGUGAGAGGCUGAGGCGUUCCAUCCUUGCAACUGCCAUCUUCUAGUUCCAGUGUUGGGAUUUUAAGCUCUUGUUUAAACUCUUGUCUACUUAAGUGUUUGUUGAUUGCUUCACCUAUAGUGUUAAAGUGAAGUUAUUGAGAGUUGCAGAGUGUCUGUCAUUUUUAGUGUAACUGCUUAAGUGGAAGUGGAAUAUUUUUCUUGUAGGGAGGUGGAUGUCAUUUAUUUUAGAAACUACCCUUUUUCUCCUGUGUUUGAGUUAGAGAGGAAGUCAGGGAAGUAUCUCUGUGCUUUUUCUUUCUCUUUUUGUUUGGUAGGUAAGUUAACACUGAAAACCUUAGUCAGAGGAAACUUUUUGUUUAUUGUUUUGGCCUUUCCCCUCCUGAAGCCUUAUAUAUAUUUUUCCAUUCUGUUAAAUAAAAUACCUCUGGUUGUUUGCUCAAA